AGCGAACGCUGGCGGCAGGCUUAGCACAUGCAAGUCGAGCGGGCAUCUUCGGAUGUCAGCGGCAGACGGGUGAGUAACACGUGGGAACGUACCCUUCGGUUCGGAACAACUCUGGGAAACUGGAGCUAGUACCGGAUACGCCCUUAUGGGGAAAGGUUUACUGCCGAAGGAUCGGCCCGCGUCUGAUUAGCUAGUUGGUGGGGUAACGGCCUACCAAGGCGACGAUCAGUAGCUGGUCUGAGAGGAUGAUCAGCCACACUGGGACUGAGACACGGCCCAGACUCCUACGGGAAGCAGCAGUGGGGAAUAUUGGACAAUGGGCGCAAGCCUGAUCCAGCCAUGCCGCGUGAGUGAUGAAGGCCUUAGGGUUGUAAAGCUCUUUUGUCCGGGACGAUAAUGACGGUACCGGAAGAAUAAGCCCCGGCUAACUUCGUG
rnacentral:rRNA from 1 species